GAGGGUAUAGCUCAAUAGUAGAGUGUGUGCUUAGCAUGCACAGGGUCCUGGGUUCAACCCCUAAUACCUCCA
rnacentral:tRNA from 1 species